rnacentral:tRNA from 632 species
GGCCCGUUGGUCAAGCGGUUAAGACACCGCCCUUUCACGGCGGUAACACGGGUUCGAAUCCCGUACGGGUCACCA